rnacentral:rRNA from 1 species
AACGAACGCUGGCGGCAGGCCUAACACAUGCAAGUCGAGCGAGGACUUCGGUUCUAGCGGCGGACGGGUGAGUAACGCGUGGGAAUGUGCCCUUCUCUACGGAAUAGCCCUGGGAAACUGGGAGUAAUACCGUAUACGCCCUAUUGGGGAAAGAUUUAUCGGAGAAGGAUCAGCCCGCGUUGGAUUAGGUAGUUGGUGGGGUAAUGGCCUACCAAGCCGACGAUCCAUAGCUGGUUUGAGAGGAUGAUCAGCCACACUGGGACUGAGACACGGCCCAGACUCCUACGGGAGGCAGCAGUGGGGAAUCUUAGACAACGGGGGCAACCCUGAUCUAGCCAUGCCGCGUGAGUGAUGAAGGCCUUAGGGUUGUAAAGCUCUUUCAGCUGGGAAGAUAAUGACGGUACCAGCAGAAGAAGCCCCGGCUAACUCCGUG